ACCAUCUGGAGUGGACGCGUGCACUACCCCUCUCUGAAUACACCCUCCCCACGAGGCCCUCUGGAGCAUCCUGUAGAGCCAGCCCUUACCCAGAGACCCUGAGCCCAGAGAAUGUGCUGGGUGGUGAGCCUGGGGACGAAUGCAGAGCCCUAGAUCUCCUCUCCAGAAAGACCGGAUUUUGCCAUGUUGGCCAGGCUGGUCUUGAACUCCUGACCUCAAGUGAUCCACCUGCCUCGGCCUCCCAAAGUGCAGGGAUUACAGGUGUGAGCCACCGCACCCGGCCUCAGGCAGGUAUUUUUACCAGCCGAAUACUCUUGCACUGUGCACUCUUCACGUUCAUCAUCAGUCCCCCAGAUGGGUGUUUAAGGCAUUUCCAAAGCUCUGUUAUUAAAAACACGAUGCAAUGA